UGGGUGCGCAAGCCAUAGCAUGCUUUUAAUUAGGGGUACUAGCUUCACUCACAUUUCCCAGGAUAUAUAUCAUUUACUUUCUAGGUGACUAAAGAGUUGAGAACGCUCACAAGUUGGAUUGAAUACCUGGACAUAAAGUAUAGUUCAUUGUAAACCUUAAGAUCUUGCGGGGAAACUAGACGAACACGCGUGUUUAUGUAUGUAAAUAGUUUUUGUAUUGGUUCUUCUGAGAACGGUAAAAAAUAUAAAAGUAGAAUUUUAUGAGAAUCCCAGACUUGAAAGGUCGGAAUUGUACUCGUAUAUUUCAGUGUGGUAUAUUUGUCAAGUAAUAUAUGAACGAGAGCGAGUGUUUCACCGGGAUAUCC